rnacentral:rRNA from 1 species
UACGGAGGGUGCAAGCGUUAUCCGGAUUCACUGGGUUUAAAGGGUGCGUAGGUGGCGUGGUAAGUCUGGUGUGAAAUCCCGGGGCUCAACCCCGGAACUGCACUGGAUACUGCCAUGCUUGAGUACUGGAGAGGAGAUUGGAAUUUACGGUGUAGCAGUGAAAUGCGUAGAUAUCGUAAGGAAGACCAGUGGCGAAGGCGAAUCUCUGGACAGUUACUGACACUGAGGCACGAAGGCCAGGGGAGCAAACGGG